rnacentral:rRNA from 1 species
AAGCUUCGGCUGGAAGAUACGUUAUCUAGUGGCGGACGGGUGAGUAACACGUGGGUAACCUGCCUUAUGGAGGGGGAUAACAGAGAGAAAUCACUGCUAAUACCGCAUAAGCACACAGUACCGCAUGGUACAGGGUGAAAAGAUUUAUCGCCAUAAGAUGGACCCGCGUCUGAUUAGCCAGUUGGCAGGGUAAAAGCCUACCAAAGCAACGAUCAGUAGCCGAUCUGAGAGGAUGACCGGCCACAUUGGGACUGAGACACGGCCCAAACUCCUACGGGAGGCAGCAGUGGGGAAUAUUGCACAAUGGGGGAAACCCUGAUGCAGCGACGCCGCGUGAGUGAAGAAGUAUUUCGGUAUGUAAAGCUCUAUCAGCAGGGAAGAUAAUGACAGUACCUGACUAAGAAGCCCCGGCUAACUACGUGCCAGCAGCCGCGGUAAUACGUAGGGGGCAAGCGUUAUCCGGAUUUACUGGGUGUAAAGGGAGCGUAGACGGAAUGGCAAGUCUGAAGUGAAAUACCCGGGCUCAACCUGGGAACUGCUUUGGAAACUGUUGUUCUAGAGUGUUGGAGAGGUAAGUGGAAUUCCUGGUGUAGCGGUGAAAUGCGUAGAUAUCAGGAAGAACACCGGAGGCGAAGGCGGCUUACUGGACAAUAACUGACGUUGAGGCUCGAAAGCGUGGGGAUCAAACAGGAUUAGAUACCCUGGUAGUCCACGCUGUAAACGAUGAAUACUAGGUGUCGGGGUGCAAAGCAUCUCGGUGCCGUCGCUAACGCAAUAAGUAUUCCACCUGGG